GAUGAACGCUGGCGGCGUGCCUAAUACAUGCAAGUCGAGCGAAUGGAUUAAGAGCUUGCUCUUAUGAAGUUAGCGGCGGACGGGUGAGUAACACGUGGGUAACCUGCCCAUAAGACUGGGAUAACUCCGGGAAACCGGGGCUAAUACCGGAUAACAUUUUGAACCGCAUGGUUCGAAAUUGACAGGCGGCUUCGGCUGUCACUUAUGGAUGGACCCGCGUCGCAUUAGCUAGUUGGUGAGGUAACGGCUCACCAAGGCAACGAUGCGUAGCCGACCUGAGAGGGUGAUCGGCCAAACUGGGACUGAGACACGGCCCAGACUCCUACGGGAGGCAGCAGUAGGGAAUCUUCCGCAAUGGACGAAAGUCUGACGGAGCAACGCCGCGUGAGUGAUGAAGGCUUUAGGGUCGUAAAACUCUGUUGUUAGGGAAGAACAAGUGCUAGUUGAAUAAGCUGACACCUUGACGGUACCUAACCAGAAAGCCACGGCUAACUACGUGCCAGCCGCCGCGGUAA
rnacentral:rRNA from 1 species